GACGAACGCUGGCGGCGUGCUUAACACAUGCAAGUCGAGCGGUAAGGCCCUUUCGGGGGUACGACGAGCGGCGAACGGGUGAGUAACACGUGGGUGACCUGCCCUCAGCUCUGGGAUAAGCCUGGGAAACUGGGUCUAAUACCGGAUAUGACUCCAUGACGCAUGUUGUGGGGUGGAAAGCCUUGUGCGGCUGAGGAUGGGCCCGCGGCCUAUCAGCUUGUUGGUGGGGNGAUGGCCUACCAAGGCGACGACGGGUAGCCGGCCUGAGAGGGCGACCGGCCACACUGGGACUGAGACACGGCCCAGACUCCUACGGGAGGCAGCAGUGGGGAAUCUUGCGCAAUGGGCGAAAGCCUGACGCAGCGACGCCGCGUGAGGGAUGACGG
rnacentral:rRNA from 1 species